GCCUUCGUGGUGCAGUGGUCAGCAUACUCGACGUGUAAUCUAGAGGUCCGUGGUUCGAAUCCCGGCUAAAUGCG
rnacentral:tRNA from 1 species